rnacentral:tRNA from 1 species
UUGGUAGCUCGUCGGGCUCAUAACCCGAAGGUCGUCGGUUCAAAUCCGGCC